rnacentral:rRNA from 1 species
CGGGAGGCAGCAGUGGGGAAUAUUGCACAAUGGGCGAAAGCCUGAUGCAGCCAUGCCGCGUGUAUGAAGAAGGCCUUCGGGUUGUAAAGUACUUUCAGUUGUGAGGAAGGGGGUGUCGUUAAUAGCGGCAUCUCUUGACGUUAGCAACAGAAGAAGCCCGGCUAACUCCGUGCCAGCAGCC